UACGUAGGUGGCAAGCGUUGUCCGGAAUUAUUGGGCGUAAAGCGCGCGCAGGUGGUUUCUUAAGUCUGAUGUGAAAGCCCACGGCUCAACCGUGGAGGGUCAUUGGAAACUGGGGAACUUGAGUGCAGGAGAGAAGAGUGGAAUUCCACGUGUAGCGGUGAAAUGCGUAGAGAUGGUGGAGACACCGGUGGCGAAGGCGGCACCUGG
rnacentral:rRNA from 1 species